UACGGAGGGUGCAAACGUUGCUCGGAAUCAUUGGGCGUAAAGCGCACGUAGGCGGACCGCUAAGUCGGAUGUGAAAGCCCUCGGCUUAACCGAGGAAGUGCAUUCGGAACUGACAGUCUUGAGUAUGGAAGAGGGUCGCGGAAUUCCCGGUGUAGAGGUGAAAUGCGCAGAUAUCAGGAAGAACACCCGUGGCGAAGGCGGCUCUCUGGGACGGUACUGACGCUGAGACGCGAAAGCGUGGGGAGCGAACAGG
rnacentral:rRNA from 1 species